UCGAGUUUAGGCUUGUCUCCUGAGGAUCAUUAGUCAGUUCUUCUAUAUAUGACCUCUAUUCUUUGAAUUCCCAUAAUAGUGAAAGACCAAUCCAAUCUUCGCGGCAGCAGCAAAGCAAAUAUUUUAAGAAAACCAAAAUUUAUGAAAGAGAUACUGGGGGUGAAAAAGUAAUUAAGGAUAAAAUAAUAGUCAAUAGUUGAUAUAGUUUGCGGUCUAAAUAGUAGUUCCUUACCUGGUUGACUUAUAUAACUAUCAAUCAUAAAACAAAUCACAUUAUAAUAUGUAUUUCUUUGAUUUUAAGUAGUAGGUAGUUAGCAAAGAAACCUAAAAUUUUCUACAGCAAAGCAAAAGCUAAGAAAUUUUUUAAAAGUAUAGUCAAAAGAAAAGAUGACCAACACUAUAUCAAAAUGUAGAAAGGGCCUCACAAAUCAUUCAGAAACAGAAUCUCAUUGUUAUUUGAUCAUGAAAGCAUGAAUUUGCAUGCAUGAAGUAAUUGAAACUUGAUUCACAUACAUAUGUUAACUUGAGGCAAUAUUAUUUCCCUAAAAUUGGAGAAUGAAAUACAACUGGGAAGGAUUUAACUCUUAACAGCUUCUUUUCUUUUUCAAACUCUCUCAAGUUAGAUGGAAAACCACGUUAUUAAUUAGUUUUCAGUUUUGCCACAUCUGAAUGAGCCUAAAGUUUCUCCCAAGAACCAAUGGAUAUUCAAAGAAAUCUCGCUAACAAUCUAUGUUGUUCCUGAUUUAUAAAUAUGACACUAUAAGGGAAGAAAGAGUAAUCUUAAACUACUUAGACCACUCAACACAUUAACUCAAAUUUAAAAAACUUAAGAGAUGGAAAACAACAGAGGUUUAUUCUUAAGAAGAAGUCCUUUCUUGCGAAGAGUAUUCAGUUCUUGAAUAAGAGAUAUAAAGAUGCUAUAUUUCAGCUGUAUUUUUCAUGAGUCAAUGUCAGUGAGCAUUUAAAAAAAUUAACUUGUCAUCCUGAUUCCACCUAUUACUAAAAAUAAUUAAGUUGUCGUUCUUAGUCCACCUCUUACUAUUAUUUCAUAACUUACUACUCAAUUCUUAGAGUUGCAUGAAUCUUAGGUCUAAAUGCGAGGUUGCAUGAUUCAAAAAUCUAAAUAAUGUUUUACUUAACCACAACUAUUCUUAAAUCUAUCACUCAUUAAUUGACCAAAAGUCUGGUAAAAUUGGAUUUAUUAGAAGAAAAAAAGAAAGAGGAAACAUUAAGAUAACUUGUGUGGAUCACGAGUUAAAUAGAUAACAUGUAAAUAUAUUUUACUUUAAACUGGAGAGCUUUGAAUUCAAGUACCUCGAAUCAGUUUUACCUUUUGUAUAUAAUAACCAUUAUAAUAUUAUGCAAUUAAAAUACACAUCAUAUGACAACAAAUCCUCCUCAGGAUCUCCUAUUCCCUCACUCAAUGUUCUUUUUUUGGAUGUAUAUAAUGCUUUUUUUGUUCUACUUCUUGAAUCAGCUACGCUUUAUCUUCUUCUUUACUUGACACCAUAUUUCUUACUGAAGUAGCAGACCUCUUGAAUAAUUAGGGGAUACUCAAAUCUUUACAUGAAAGUGUUCAUGGUUUGAGAAACAAAACCAACAAACAGGACCAACCUAAUUUAGCUUAUCAUCUGAGCAAUUGUUCCUCACAUAACUUUACUAAAAAUAGUUUAACAACUUGGAAGGAAUUCAUAACAAAGGAUUAAAAUAUGUUAAGGAGGCCUCUAUAGUUCAAAUAUUAUUUGUUGGUGUACAGGACAAAAUUUGCCUUCAAAAUAUAACUACAGCAGAUUGUACUUAUAACUGGCAUACCUUCUCAAGACAUUUAUUGCAAUAGACAGAAGCAACACGGACAUUUUUGUGCUUUUAAGUUUCUGUCACCAUAAAAGUGAAGGAUAAAUAAUUUUAAGACAACAUCAUAUGAAGAUCAGAGCAAUGGUGCAUGUACUGCAAAAAUCGACGAAAGAAUAAGAUAAAAAAGUGAAAUGAAGAAUAAUUAAUCAAGUAUAAGUAAAGAAUGGAAAUAAAAAUACAAAAUAAGUAAAUGCUAUCACAACUGAUAAAUUAAGCAAGGACCUUUUCUUGAAAAAAUCUAAUCAGAAUAUUUAGCUAUUGCGUCUUAAAAUAACAGCUCUCAUGGUCAGGGCAACAAUCUGUUAUCCUUCAGGCAUUUAGAAAGCUUUGUCCUUCUUCCUCAACUGGUUGAAUAUUUUAUUUUAAGAAAUCUUAGAGUUUCAAUUGUUCCUCUUACUCCAUUUGAGAGACCUAAAGAUACAAAAUACUUCUUCAUCAACUUUUCUCGAAAAAUUCAAUCAGAAUAUUUAGCUACUAAGGCUUAAAACAAUAGCUCUCAAGGUCUCGGCAAACAAUCUGUUAUCCUUCAAGCAUUUAGAAAGCUCUGUCCUUCUUCCUCAACUGGUUGAAUAUCUUAUUUUAAGAAAAUCUCAGAGCUCCAAUUGUUUCUCUUACUCCAUUGGAGAGACUUAAAGAUCCCAAAUACUUCUUCAUCAACAACAAUAUUUACUUCUUCAUCAACAACAAAAUUUAGAGUAUCGUGCACUAUAACUUACAAAGAGGUUAAAAAUAUGUAUUGUUAACCAAAUUAAACAUUAAAUGAAUUUAUUGAAUUGCAAAUAAAAACUAAUUCAUCGAUAUUCAUACAUUGGUUUCCAGCAAGAAAAGAUUUAUAUUCUAUUACCACAAACCUAAUUUUUAACUUUUUAGUAGGUAAAAUCAUGAUUUCCUGAAAAUAACCUAUCAGAACUUACUUAAAUUAUCACCAAAGCAGAAAUGCUUAUGCUGGCCGUUCAUCAAAGUAUCCAAUCAUAUUGGCUACAAGUUCAUAACACAACACACAAGAUAAUGAUUUAUAAGCAUCAUUCCCCUACUGUAAGUGACGACAAGAGGGGUUGCUAUGAUGGUAAGCAACCCCCACUUUCAACCGAGAGGUUGUGAGUUUGAGUCUUCCCAAGAGCAAGGUGGGAAGUUCUUGGAGGGAAUGAUGCCGGGGUCUAUUUGGAAAUAGCCUCUCUACCCCAGGGUAAAGGUAAGGUCUGUGUACAUACUACCCUCCUCAGACCCCACUAAAUGAGAUUAUACUGGGUUGUUGUUGUUGUUAUUUCCCUACUGUAAGUCUAGUUGUUCUUGUUUUAGCUAACUCUUCAAAAUUAGACAUACUGCCUUGCUUCUGGUUUUAAAAAGCUGAAUAGCUCAUUUGCCAACUUCAAUUUAAAACACAAGCAAGCUAAAUGUUAAACAAAUAAUUGGCAACACAUAAGUUCAUUACUGGCCUUUGAAAAUUUUGUACGCAAAGCUUUUCUCCAUUCUAUUUGAGUUCUUUUUUUUAUUUUAUUUUAUAAUUCUUAUAAUUGAUAGCUGCAAGAUUGAAUCAAAUUAGUCAAUGAGUAUAUGCAUGUGUAAAAUUAGUUAAUACUAAAGAUACAGAAAAUUAUAUAAUAGCCUUUAGUAAAUACAAUUUCUUUAUAUUGUGGUCAACAGUUUAUCACUGUCUGUGAUGAAGGUUGAUGGAGAAGAGGAAAAAUUCCUCAAGUAAUACCUUUAGAAUUAAUUGUGCCUUUGACUCUAAAUUUCCCCUUACACUUUACUUUAUAAUUGCAAAAGAUCAAAUCAGAUCAGAAAAUGAAGCCCUAAAAUGGAUUCAACCAAAAAAAAAAGCUGGAAAAAAUUGAAAGAGGAGUAGACCGGAAAAUUACACCAAGAAAAUGAAAAAAAUGAAGAAAGUUGAAAAAACUAUUCUAGGUAUGAAAGAGAACUCUAUGGUGGCUAUUGAAUUAAAACCCAUAUAGAAUAAACCUCCAUCUCAGCUCAUACGUUAUCCCAAAAACAAAGAACAAAUAAAAAUAUUCUAGAAAUCAAGCAAAAGCUAAUAGUUAGAGUGAAGAAGAAACUAAGGAGAAAAGCUGGAAUAGAGCAACAAUCGAGCAGAAAUACUUAAGAUCAAACUCAAAUUUCAACUCAAAAAGAGACUAUGCCUCGUUUUUGUCCUUUUCCGGUGCUACACUUCAAUUAUGAUGAAUUGUUGUUGCACUGCUUUUUCUCCGUGUACGGCUAAAAAUUUUCAAAUUGGAAUAUUGAGCAGAAUAAGAGAGAAAAGGAAAUUAAAAUGUUAAAGAAAAGAGAUACAAACGUGGAGUCAUAUAACAACCACAUGUAGACUUAUGGAUAGGAAUAAUGACAAAUGAACAACAACAACAAUUCAGUAUAAUACCAUUUAGUGAGAAGUGGGAAGGAUAGUAUAUGAGUAGAGAGGCUGUUUCCAAAUAAACUCCGGCAUCCUUCCCUCAACAACUUUCCACCUUGUUCUUGGAUAGACUCAAACUCAC
rnacentral:lncRNA from 1 species